UGUAAAUUACAAAUUUAAUUUUGAAUUUGAUGCCUUCCUUAAUCUUUUCCAAAAUCGCCAAAUAAAAAAAAACACAACAACAUAAAGCAAUUCCCUCCUAAGAUGAUGCCACGUGGAUAAACAAAAAAUCAUCAAAUAAAAAAAAAAACCAACCAAAAAAACACAACAACAUAAAAGCAAUUCCCUCCUAAGAUGCUGCUACGUGGAUAAACAAAAAGAUCAAACGUCUGGCGCACAAUAAAACCGUAGGUUAAAAGCAGUGAAUCCAAUCUCCACCCUUAUAAAACCCUAUUUUCUCUCUCCUCUCAUAACUGCUUUCCAGAGACUUCUAAAUUUCACGCUUUUGUCAAGUUUUAAUCUUUGUGAAGGGUUGAAGAAAAACAUGACGAGACGAAUUUACCGUACUAUUUACGUUGGUAAUCUUCCCGGUGAUAUUCGCGAGAGAGAAGUCGAGGAUAUCUUUUACAAGUAUGGCCCAAUCGUUGACAUUGAUCUGAAGAUUCCACCACGGCCUCCUGGUUAUGCUUUUGUUGAGUUCGAAGAUGAACGUGAUGCUGAAGAUGCUGUGUAUGGCCGUAAUGGUUAUGAUUUUGACGGGCAUCGUUUGCGGGUGGAAUUUGCUCAUGGUGGUCGAGGAUCCCUAUCAUCUGACCGUCACAGCAGUUAUGGAGGCAGCAGUUAUAGGGGUGGAGCACCCAAGCACACUGACUAUAGAGUCAUGGUCACUGGACUGCCGUCAUCUGUUUCUUGGCAAGACCUUAAGGAUCACAUGCGACGAGCCGGAGAUGUUUGUUUUUCAGAUGUAUUCAAGGAUCGUCGUUAUGGUGGCAUGACUGGAGUUGUUGAAUAUGCAAGUUAUGAUGAUAUGAAGCGUGCUGUCAGGAAACUGGAUGAUUCUGAGUUUCGUAAUGCAUUCUCUCGUGCUUAUAUUCGAGUGAAAGAGUACUCCAGGAGUCUGAGUCCAGAUGAUAGGUCGAGAAGUAGAAGCUACAGCCGUGGCCGUAGUUACAGCCGAAGCAGAAGCCGAAGCUGCAGCUACAGCAUUUCUCCAAGAAAAAGUUCACGACGUUCUUAUUCCAGAUCUCCUUCUAGGUCUCCCUCAAGAUCCCCUUCUCGUUCUCGUUCUAGUUGGAGCGAUGGACUGUGGUGAGUAAAGAGGAGUCAUUGGAUACAUGCAGGUAGUUUGUCUCGUAUAUGCCAUAUGAUGUGAUGAAUUUAUUAGGACAUGGCAUUUUAGUGCUCUACUAUGUCUAGUGAAAUUAUGCUUUUAUUUAGAUCUGAAGAAUUUGGAACCGUAUUUUUGUUAUUCAUCUUACAAUGCCUUGUUUUUCAAGUUAUGUGGAGUUUUGUCCAGUAAAUAAAUAUGCAUAUUAUAGGGAUAAGUUGAAACUAAAGAUGGAACAUUCGAAAGUGAAAAUGUAGAUAAAACAGACAGAUUUUCCAAAUUAAACCUGCCUCUUGAUGGAUUUUUAGGACACGGUCGUAUUUGAAACAUAUGAGAUGUUGCCUAAUUGUUUUAAUGAGUUUAUGAAGCUUGUCUUCUUUGUUUCGUAGAUCCAGCUCUUUGCGGCAGUCUGGGGAUUGGACAUAGGGGCUUGGAUCUAUUUCACAUCAAACCUUGCUCAUUUCCAUCCAGGCUGGCGUUGUUUUAUAUUUGUUGGAUGUGUUCACUAUUGGGAAUUAUGAUUGUUGGAUAAAUAAUAAAGGUAUUAUGUUUGGUGGAGGUUUUGGAUGUGAGCUGGCAAAAUCUUUGGUUCUAUAAGAAAGAACUGGAUUCUCAUAUGUGCUCUAGUGUCUUGGAACACAGAGCAGUUGUAGCCCAAUUGCAUAAGCAUGAGAUUUGGUAGGACUCCUGGUAAAAGGAUAUUGGUAGAUACAAUGUUCUAUGCAAUUUAAGUGCGAAACAUGGUUUUGGGCCUUUGCUACACAUUGGUGAACAUGAUAUUCCACACCGAUCUGACUGGAUGGUAAGGUUGGAAUUUCUUGCUCUAGUCCAAAAUGGCUCUCUGAUGGUAAGGUUGGAAUUUCUUGCUCUAGUCCAGAAUGGCUCUCUUUCCACUUCCCCUUACUGGUGUAAUUUUUCUGUAUAGUUUUGAGUAAAGGCAAACUGAGGUCCAAAAUCACCCUGUUGAAUUCUUGUCAAAAUCAUAACUAAUUGCUGAAUCUGUUAAAUUUAUGACAAAUUGCUGAGGCUGUCAAAUUUAUUUAGACUGACAUUUUACCAAUGCUCUAUUUGAUUUUCAGAUCUUUAUCAAGGUCCAAAUCUCCAGUUCGCCGUUCUGUUAGCAGAAGUGUCAGUCGAUCACGUUCUCCAGCUGCAAGAUCUGAUAGAAGUCGUUCUGUUGAGUCUGAGGAGCGUUGCUGAAUCGAGAAGUAAAUACUGCACAAAAUAGUGGAUGAGUGUAACGUUAAAGAGCUGUGCUGUAGCAUAUACUUGGGAGUAGAAUUGUUAGAAUUAGCUGAUAAUGUACACUCUUGCUAUAUUGGGACUAGGGCGCGAGGAGUUUACUCAGUAGAUCAGAUUAGUGAAUUUCUCAUCAGGGAUCUGAACUUGCUGUUGCAGAUUUUUAGUUUUCUAUUAAGCGAUUGACUAAUUUGGUCGACUUAGUUGGUCAAUAAAUGAUCUAAGAAUUGUGGUUGUAAGAUUCUUAUGUAUUGGUUUAAAAUCUAUUGCUUUUAUAAAUGUUUGGUAAAAGCUGAA